rnacentral:rRNA from 1 species
UCGAAUCUUUGAACGCAUCUUGCGCUCCUUGGUAUUCCUCGGAGCAUGCCUGUUUGAGUGUCGUGAAU